GGACUGUAACUCAGUGGCAGAGCACUUGCCUAGCAUGCAUGAAGCACUGGGUUCAAUCCUCAGCACCA
rnacentral:tRNA from 1 species